rnacentral:lncRNA from 1 species
CUUGGCUUCUGGGUUAAGACUUCUGCUGAUAGCACACAAUCAGUACAAUGAGCUCUGAGUAAAGAAAUAAAUCUCAAAGUGAAACAAAAGGGAUUCCUCUUUGGAUCUAAGUGUUGCCACUCUGCUGCCUCUGACAGGCGAUAGGGGAACUGUCUGCAUACCAAAAGUAGUAAUGGUUGAGAAUCGAAUAAAGGAACUAUUUAUAGAGGUAUAAGGAUGGCUAAGAGCAACAGAAGAGAAUGAUGAAGAUUCCAAGGAAUAGAAACGGGGGAAGUCAACAAUAGCUUUAAGUCUGAAGGGGUGAGAAGGAGAUGCUGUUACAUGAAAUUAGAGCU